CCCUGAUAGCUCAAGUCAGUAAAGAGUCUGCCUGCAGUGCAGGAAACCCAGGUUCAAUUCCUGGGUCAGGAA
rnacentral:tRNA from 1 species